rnacentral:rRNA from 1 species
AGACUCUGUGCGCGUGCAUAUCAAUAAGCGGAGGAAAAGAAACUAACAAGGAUUCCCUUAGUAACGGCGAGUGAAGCGGGAAGAGCUCAAAUUUGAAAUCUUCAAGGUUUUACCUUGACGAAUUGUAGUUUAAAGAAGUGUUUUCUGUUGGAGUUUUGGUAAAAGUUCUUUGGAAUAGGACAUCAUAGAGGGUGAGAAUCCCGUAUUUGACCAUUAUUUCCAGCUGUGUGAUACACUUUCAACGAGUCGGAUUGUUUGGGAAUGCAGUCCAAAAUGGGUGGUAAAUUUCAUCUAAAGCUAAAUAUUGGCGAGAGACCGAUAGCGAACAAGUACCGUGAGGGAAAGAUGAAAAGAACUUUGAAAAGAGAGUUAAACAGUACGUGAGAUUGUCAAAAGGGAAGCGUUUGACACCAGUGUUGUUUUUCUCGAAAAUCAAUUAAAAAUGGCCGGAUUUUAGGUUGUCAUUGACCUUAAAAGCUUGUUUCACUUAUUUUUCUUGUCUUUCUUAAUGCACUUUUCGGUUAACAAGUCAACAUCAAUUUCUUUUGUUGUAAAAGGUUAAGAGGAAGGUGGCUUACGCUUCGGCGUAAGUGUUUAUAGCCUUUUAUCUCUGCAAUCGGAGAGAUUGAGGUCAGCAGCGUAGACUCCUUCGGGGGUUAGAUACACUUGUGCUAAGCUAUAGCCUUGUAUAGACAACUUGUUGACUAUGCUCAGUCAUGUAGCUUACUCGCAUGUGCUAUUUUACCUACGCUUAGGAUGUUGAACUCUAUCACACACAG